rnacentral:rRNA from 1 species
GAGAGGUGCUGUAUGGCUGUCGUCAGCUCGUGUUGUGAAAUGUUGGGUUAAGUCUCGCAACGAGCGCAACCCCUAUCGUCUGUUGCCAGCAUUAAGUUGGGCACUCUGACGAGACUGCCUGGGUUAACCAGGAGGAAGGUGGGGAUGACGUCAAGUCCUCAUGGCCCUUAUGUCUAGGGCUACACACGUAAUACAAUGGCGCGUACAAAGGGAAGCGAACUCGCAAGGGGGAGCAAAUCUCAAAAAGCGCGUCCCAGUCCGGAUUGGGGUCUGCAACUCGACUCCAUAAAGUUGGAAUCGCUAGUA